rnacentral:rRNA from 1 species
GACGAACGCUGGCGGCGUGCUUAACACAUGCAAGUCGAACGGAAAGGCCCUGCUUUUGUGGGGUGCUCGAUUGGCGAACGGGUGAGUAACACGUGAGUAACCUGCCCUUGACUUUGGGAUAACUUCAGGAAACUGGGGCUCAUACCGGAUAGGAGCUCCUGCUGCAUGGUGGGGGUUGGAAAGUUUCGGCGGUUGGGGAUGGACUCGCGGCUUAUCAGCUUGUUGGUGGGGUAGUGGCUUACCAAGGCUUUGACGGGUAGCCGGCCUGAGAGGGUGACCGGCCACAUUGGGACUGAGAUACGGACCAGACUCCUACGGGAGGCAGCAGUGGGGAAUAUUGCACAAUGGGCGGAAGCCUGAUGCAGCAACGCCGCGUGCGGGAUGACGGCCUUCGGGUUGUAAACCGCUUUCGCCUGUGACGAAGCGUGAGUGACGGUAAUGGGUAAAGAAGCACCGGCUAACUACGUG